rnacentral:lncRNA from 1 species
UUUUAAAUUAUCCAGAAUAUGUAAGACAAUUAUUAUCCGCGCCAUUGUAAAUUUGUUGUCGUAUUAUCCGUUGCCCUAUGUGGCAAUUAAAAUUAGGUCGGAAAGCGAGUUCAAAACACGAACAAAGCAAAUGCUUACAUGGGAUCACAAGCAAGCACCCUCCGUUCAGGUGCUUUAAUUAACCGCGUUUAAACAAGGGCUCGACCAUCAUCGAUGGAGAAGUUGUGAGCGAGGCGGGCGGCUGGUGGAUGGAGGUCAAGGAACUCGCUUCCAGGUGAGCAUGGGCGGCCUUGCUGCUCGCAUGUGUCCCGUCGAGCCUCCAAGGUGGACAGGAUGCAUGCGUCCCGUCGAGCCUGCACGACGGACUUCUCGCGGUCAUCCCGUCUAAUCAAACAGCUGCAUGCACACCACCCAGUAUGGUUAAAUUUUGGUAGAGGUAGUGGCUGCACUUAAAUGGUUACGAGAACACACUGUUCAUAUAAUAAAACCGUUUGCGAUAUUAACGUGUCAGCUAUUUGUUUCAAAAGGACUUCGUUGGCUAUUAAUGUGUGCGCCUUGCCUCAAACUGGACGAUUUUUUUUACCACGGCAUAUAUAUGUGCCAUGUCAUGAAACCAUGCUAAGUUUCAUGUUUCUUGGGUGAGUUUUUGAUUUACUGGGAAUUAAAAACCGAGAUUCUCAAUGUUUCAGGACGACAAUAAGUUUGUAAUUCAAUCUCAUUCCUUAAAUGAGACUAAACAUGCACCCAAUGACACAUGUACAAUUUCCCACCCAUUUUGCUUCACUGGAGCAUGUGCUUGUAGUUCAAAUUUGAAUUACGGACUACAUUAAAUGCCUAGAAAACUUAAUUAAUAUAUACAAUAGCCAAACGAACCCUAAACAGUUUCAAAUUUCAGCACGACACUCCUGUUAUUCUAUGUUGCCUGUAGAAAACAAAGUUCAAGGCGAGAAGAGGCAGCGAUUAUCGUUUCGCCCAUAAGAGGGGCAUGUAUCCCUACCGGAACCACGAGGGCUGCGAGAAGUUUCGGUUUGUAAGAGGCUUGUAAUAUAGCUUGGCCUAAAUUGGACAAUUAUUUUACCAUGACAUAUAUGUGCGAUGUAGUGACACCAUGCCAAGUUUCAUGAUCUCCUAGUGAGUUUUCGAUUUACGGAGAUUUAAAAAUCGAGAUUCGCAAUGUUGGUGGCCAAGCCAGGACGCCGAGACGGUUGAAUUCAUUCCCAUUCGUUCCAUGGGACCUAAACAUGAACCCCAAGGACACAUGUACGUUUUUCUAGCCAUUUUGGUGCAAUUGAGCAUGUAUUUGCAGUUCAGAUUUGAUCUAUGGACAUUAAAUGCCUAGAAAACUUAAUUAAUGAAUGAAAAAGGUCAAACGGACCCUGAAUAAUUUCAAAGUUCAGUGCGAAUCUCCCAUUGUUUUGUGUUGCGUGUAGAAGAAAAUACAAGGCUAGAAGAGGGAGCGAUUAUCGUUUCGCCCACAAGGGGACACGUUUCCCUAUCAAAACCACGAGGGUUCUUGUGACAUGCUCCGAUUUGUAAGAGGUUUGUAAUAAAGCUGGGCCCAAAUUGAACAAUGUUUUUACCACGACAUAUAUGCGCUAUGACGUGACACCAUGCCACCUUUGAUGACUUUCUAGUGAGUUUUGGAUUUAUGGGGAUUUAAAAACCGACAUUCCAAAUGUCUGAGGACGAGUCAGGACACCGGUACAGUUGUAAUUCAUUCCCAUUCCUGGCAUGGGACCUAAACAUGCACCCAAGGAUACAUGUAUAAUUUUUCUAGCCAUUUUGGUGAACUAGAGCAUGUAUUUGUUGUUGUUCAGAUUUGAAUUAUAGAUACUAAAUGCCUAGAAAACUCAAUUAGUGUAUAAAAAGGCCAAACAAACCCUGAAUAAGUUUAAACUUCAGCACGGAUACCCUGUCGUUCCAUAUUGCCUGUAGAAGGAAAUACAAGGCGAAAAUAGGUAGUGAUUACGUUUCGGCCACAAGGGAACAUGUUUCCCUAUUGGAACCACGCGGCUUCUCUGAAAGAAGCUCCGAUUUGUAAGAGGUUUGUAAUAAAGCUUGGCCCAAAUUGGACAAUGUUUUUACCACGACAUAUAUGUGCCAUGACGUGACACCAUGCCAACUUUCAUUACUUUCUGGUGAGCUUUGGAUUUAUGGGGAUUUAAAAACUGAAAUUUCCAAAUGUCUGAGGACGAGCCAGGACAUCGGUACGGUUUUAAUUCGUUCCCAUUCCUGGCAUGGGACCUAAACAUGCACCCAAGGACACAUGUAUAAUUUUCUAGCCAUUUUGGUGAACUAGAGCAUGUAUUUGUAAUUCUAAUUUGAAUUAUGGACAUUAAAUGACUAGGAAACUCAAUUAGUGUAUAAAAAGGCCAAACGAACCCUGAAUAAGUUUAAACUAGUAAAAAGCCUGUGCAUUGCUACGGGGCAUAUAUGUAUGUGUUUCAAAUCCUCAUGCAUUUAUUCUUCUUGUGCAACAAUUUAUCUGGCACACGUAUAUAUCAGUGCCUUCUUUAAGUGAUGCAAAACAUACAACUUGACAUAACAGUAGUCAAACAUCUCUUAAAUCAUUAAAUUAACAGGAAAUGUGAGUGAUCUUUUCGAGUGCCACAAUGUAUGAUGUAGAAAUCAUUCUGUAACGGUUUGUCAAACCACAAACAAAAGGAACAAUAACGUAAUCACCGAAUUAUAAGCAACGUAUCCUAGCAUUCUUAUUUUUUGUAAAUAAAUUCCUAGGGUAUUAAAUAAUUUUCAAAAUAAAAAAGUUGGGGAAAAUAUUAGUAACUUGCAAGGAAGAAAAAAUAGAGGAUUGGAAACAAUAGUACACAUGGAUGUCACACUUUCAAGUAGCAAAUUCCGUCCGAAAUCAUCAACUGUCACUGCCACAGCAUGAUUCUCUACUUCAUUGCAGUGCAUCUAAAAAAGCCGCACACCGGGAAACUAAUAAAUAUCAAUAGGCAUAAAAUGUGCACUAUUGACAUGGUUUAUCCGAUUAGAUACAUGGCCGUUGUGCAAGAUCAGAUAAUUUCAAGAGGCAGAUUCAUCCCGGGUCUUCAUCGUUCAAUACAUGUCUAUUGAUACAUCGGUCAAGGCGGUGACUUGUGGUGUGUCUUGUGCGUGUGGUGGGUGUAUACCUUAAUUGCGAUCGCAGAAAUUAUAAUAUAAUAUUAAGAGUACAUGUUCCAAAUUUCUUAAAAAUAUGUAAACAGAACCCAUGCCUGCAUGUUCAAUAAUUUCAGGUUUUCAGAUAUUGCCUGCAAACAACAAUCCGCAACAAAAAUCAUAGACCGAAGCAUUUCACAAUAGAACUGAUAGUAGGACAUCUAUAAAAACAGAAAAUGUAAGAGCUGGGCUAUUGGCUCCUGGGGAAAGAAUUGGAUUGCAUAGUACUAUUCCAUACUAUUACUGAAGUAUCAAUGAAAUUAAAGAUAACAUGAAUUACCCAGAUCCUCUUGAUAUAUAGCCGAUGUGGGCAUUCCUUCAUGCAAAUUGUGAGUGAAUAUCACAUAUUAGAAGCCUUUCAAUCAACUCCUACAGGGAACCAAGAAAGAUGGAAAUCAUGGGCUAUACAACCAACAAUCCAACAGUAAGCUGGUAAAGAAGGAAAUAAAUAAUAAUCAUAACAAAUACGAAUACCUACCUUAAAAUUGAAACAAAAUUAAUGUAAAAAGAACAUCUGAAAUGUAAUGACAACCUAAUGUGAUGAACACUUUGUUAAUAUAGCAAUUACAUACAGAAUACUGAUAUACAUGGCUAUACAACUUGCAGUCUGCUCUCUUUUUUCUGCGAAGAAUAAUGGGCUUAUAUUGCUUUUAGAAGACAUCAAGUUGUUGUAUUAAAUAGUCUAUAUGAUCAGCAAAGAAUAAAGCUUUAAAUUGUACUCGCCAAAAGGCGCAUUUACUCCUAUAUAACUAAGAUCUCUCGUCACUUCAGGAAAAAAAAGCCGAAUUUGAAGAAGUUAGCCCAUACAGUGUACAACUAUAACCAUGGAUCAGUUGAAAUAGAUAACUAAAGCAUAUGAAUCGUGUUCCCAUCAUGGCUGUCUCAAGAGAAGCAUAGGAAUCAUGCAUCUCAUCGACCCUCGUCCUCUAGCAGCAGGUCUCUCCCACCCGUCCUCCUCCUCCUACAAAUCCUAUUAGCCCGGCAGCCACCAUAGGAACUGUGCAUCUCGUCAAUCCCGACGUCCACCACCAGCAGGUCGAGCCCACCGUACUCCUCCUCCUCUUCCUAACUAAGCAGCAAAUUAAUGCAUUACCUUAGAGAAUAGGGAAUAGCAACUCAUAUCAUGUUCUUGCAGGUAGAUAAAAUUCAGGUAACUGAAUGAUGAUAUUAUAGAACUAAAUUUUGUACAGAACAAGAAAACAAGAGACAUGGGAGAAAUCACCAACAACCAGCCAAAAAAAGUGUAUCGCUUUGGUGCCGGAGUUGGCCAUGGAGAUGGUUCCCUUGCGCUGUGCUUCAGCACCUCGCAAACUUCCCGCCCCUGAUGGACACUCCGGCAUCCAAGGUUAAUUGGACAUGUUCUUUGAGUUUUUCUGGUAGUAUACGGCGGCGUGCGUACUGCAUAAUUCCUUCCCUUCUCAUCCUCUCAUUGUAACAGAGCCGAGCUACUGUGAUGGCGUCGGCUGGCCGUAUGCUGCUGCCUAUCGAUUGAGAUUCGUACGCAUGGCCGUGUUGAAGAUCCCACGCCACAAAACAAAUACCAAUGCGGAGAGAGAGAGAGAGAGAGAGAGAGAGAGAGAGCAGGAUGAGAGAGAGCAGGAUGAGAGAGAGAGAGAGAGCAGGAUGCUCACGCCGAUCUGCUACUGCCGCCACCUUCAAAUCCGCUGCCGCUGAACACUUCGCCUCCGGCAUGGUAGGUCAUCUUGGUCCGCUGAGGAGGGGUACUACUCCCCUUCUUCGUCGUCCACUGCAGGAGGUUCCCUCUCAUCCUCCUUGUCCCCCCGAAUAUCUGGGCCCACCUCCUCCGGCCAAGCCUGCACCUUGACGCCCCUUGCUGUAGUUCGCCGAGCCACCACCCGACCUCGCCUCCGCACUCCUGAGGCCUAGGCUGUCCGCCUCCGGUGCCUCGCCUGCCAGCCAUCAGAUCCCAGCCGUGAUGGCUGCUUGGUGGUGCGUGCAGUAAGCAAGGGCUACAACGCAGUGGCGAGCGGAGCGGCCAACAUCGGUGCGAUCAAGCACGCGUGCUGUGCGCCAGGGCAGGGCGGCGGCGGCAGGGUGAGAACGUGCAGCAGCACGGCGGCGGCGAGCGGAGAGUGGAGAGGACGAUUGGAUCGAGAGAUAUUUUUGGAAGGGUGGAUCGAGAUGGAAGAGAGCGACGACGGGGCCGAGCUGAACAAGGGCAGGCCGAAAU